UACGUAGGCAGCAAGCGUUGUUCGGAAUUACUGGGAGGAAAGAGUGUGUAGUUGGUGUCGUAAGUUUGGUGUGAAAUCUCCCGGCUUAACUGGGAGGGUGCGCCGAAGACUGCGAUGCUGGAGUAUGGGAGAGGAAAGCGGAAUUCCUGGUGUAGCGGUGAAAUGCGUAGAUAUCAGGAGGAACACCUGCGGUGUAGACGGCUUUCUGGACCAUUACUGACACUGAGACACGAAAGCGUGGGUAGCAAACAGG
rnacentral:rRNA from 1 species